rnacentral:rRNA from 1 species
UACGUAGGGUGCGAGCGUUAAUCGGAAUUACUGGGCGUAAAGCGUGCGCAGGCGGUUUUGUAAGCCAGGUGUGAAAUCCCCGGGCUUAACCUGGGAAUGGCAUUUGGGACUGCAAAGCUUGAGUGUGGCAGAGGGGACUGGAAUUCCUGGUGUAGCAGUGAAAUGCGUAGAGAUCAGGAGGAAUACCGAUGGCGAAGGCAGGUCUCUGGGCCGAUACUGACGCUGAGGAGCGAAAGCGUGGGGAGCGAACAGG